rnacentral:rRNA from 1 species
GCAACGGAUAUCUCGGCUCUCGCAUCGAUGAAGAACGUAGCGAAAUGCGAUACCUGGUGUGAAUUGCAGAAUCCCGCGAACCAUCGAGUCUUUGAACGCAAGUUGCGCCCGAGGCCACUCGGCCGAGGGCACGCCUGCCUGGGGCUCA